rnacentral:lncRNA from 1 species
AGGUUAAAUGGAAUGGCGUCCUAUCUAAGUGGGUAACUGGGUCAGAUGAUGGAAGUAUACGAAUAUGGGUAAUAAUUAUUCAAAAUACAUGGUACCGAUUCAACUGGACUAAUAUCGGACGGUUUUUUAAAUUUCAACGAUCACACCUCCUUAGCAUUUCUAAUGUUAAUUUAUACCUGUUAAAUUAUUGAAAUUUCAGAGUGACGACGGUAUCCAAUGUGAACAGUACAUUAGCACACAUGGAACAAUUACAGCACUUUGUAUUGACCAAACAAAUGGCUGCAUUGCUCUGGGUGUACAAGACGGAAUAAGGUAUAUAUAAAAGGCUAGAAUGCUAGUGUGCUUAUAUUUGGCUUUGCUUUUAAAAUAUUUUUAUUUUUUUAUGAUUGUGAAUCCACGACUUUUAUAAAAUAGUUAAAAACUUGAACAAUCCUGACAAUAUUCAAACAAAAGCGUAGGAGUUGGAACUGGAAAAAUCUUAUGCUUUAUAAAAAAGCCUUCAGUGCAUGGAUAUCUUUAUUCAAUAAUUAUAGUGAGAUUCAUAAUUUUGAAAUUUCUUUCUAUAAGAUAAAUUUGGAUAUCGCAUAUUGGAAUGGCUAUUAGCAUCAUUCUGAACCAAAUCAUCAUGAUUUAUUCGCCAUAUAGGGUUUAUGAUCCAGAUACUCGAAAAUUUGUUCAAACGAAUGUUGGUCACAGUGACUCCGUGAGAAGCAUAAUUCACGUACCUGAGAGGGGACAG